rnacentral:rRNA from 1 species
AAGUCGUGCGCCCCUUUACGGGGAGCGGCGGACGGGUGAGUAACACGUUGGAAUCUGCCCCAAACUCAGGGAUAGCCCACCGAAAGGUGGAUUAAUACCGGAUAGUCCCGCAAGGGUAAAGCUACGGCGGUUUGGGAGGAGCCUGCGGAGUAUCAGCUUGUUGGUGAGGUAAUGGCUCACCAAGGCUAUGACGCUUAGCUGGUCUGAGAGGAUGAUCAGUCACAAUGGAACUGAGACACGGUCCAUACUCC